CUGCCCAGCACUCCAGCUGUCCCCCCGGCCCUCACUGGGGCCUGCUUUGUGGCACCCGGCAGCGCUAAGGCGGGUGGGCAGGAAACCCAAGCUGAGAGGACAUCAAUUAUUUAUGGGGCUGCUUGCUGGGAAACCCUAACCCUGGCCCAGUAGGGCCAAGUGACCAGCCAGACCCCCUCCCCCAGCCCUGAUGGGCCUGGACAGUCAGACCCUCCUCCCCAGGGCCUCUCUAGCCCAGAGCAGACUCUAAGACCCCAAGGUCCACCUCCUCCCACAUCACCCCCCGUGCUCCUCAAAACGGCAUUCGAGGCAUCUGUGAUCUGGCCUCUUCCUCCAUUUCACACACCCUCUGCUCUGGCCAGGAUGUCACCCAUGGGGGGGCCCCAGUAGGCCACUCGCUCAUCCUUUCCCACCUCCCAGCCGUUGUCCGCAUGCCUCCUGCCACCUGAGAUGCCUUCCCUGGUCCUCUCUGCCUAACGAAGGCCUCUGCCCAUGUCACACAUGAGCUGAGUCUUCUGCGCUCUAGCAUUAUUCCCCAUGUUUUAUAGAUAGGGAAACUGAGGCUGGGAGGGGAAUUUGCUGGAUCCCCCAGCUAAUAAGUAGCAGAUCUGGCAUCUGAGGCUCAUGGCAGCCACCACGUCCUGGUGCCCCUUGCUUCUGACCAAGG
rnacentral:lncRNA from 1 species